rnacentral:rRNA from 1 species
GAUGAACGCUAGCUACAGGCUUAACACAUGCAAGUCGAGGGGCAGCAUGAACUUAGCUUGCUAAGUUUGAUGGCGACCGGCGCACGGGUGAGUAACACGUAUCCAACCUGCCGAUGACUCGGGGAUAGCCUUUCGAAAGAAAGAUUAAUACCCGAUGGCAUAGUUCUUCCGCAUGGUAGAACUAUUAAAGAACUUCGGUCAUCGAUGGGGAUGCGUUCCAUUAGGUUGUUGGCGGGUAACGGCCCACCAAGCCUUCGAUGGAUAGGGGUUCUGAGAGGAAGGUCCCCCACAUUGGAACUGAGACACGGUCCAAACUCCUACGGGAGGCAGCAGUGAGGAAUAUUGGUCAAUGGACGAGAGUCUGAACCAGCCAAGUAGCGUGCAGGAUGACGGCCCUAUGGGUUGUAAACUGCUUUUAUAAGGGAAUAAAGUGAGUCUCGUGAGACUUUUUGCAUGUACCUUAUGAAUAAGGACCGGCUAAUUCCGUG